AUGGCAGCUGGGACCCUGUACACAUAUCCUGAAAACUGGAGGGCCUUCAGGGCCCUCAUUGCUGCUCAGUACAGCGGGGCUCAGGUCCAUGCGCUGUCGGCACCACCCCACUUCCACUUUGGCCAAACCAAUCGCACCCCUGAAUUUCUCUGCAAUUUUCCUGCUGGCAAGUAUCCAGCAUUUGAGGGUGAUUGUGGGUUCUGUGUGUUUGAGAGCAAUGCCAUUACCUACUAUGGAGCAAUGAGUUGCUGCAGGGAAGUACACCCGAAGCAGUAGCCUAGGUGGCGCAGUGGGUGAGCUUUGCUGAUAGCGGUAGAGCGCCCCCAGCCAGGAUCUGGGUGUUCCCCAACAUGAGCAUCAGGCACCACAAUAAGCAGGCCACUCAGAAUGCAAAGGAGGAAGUGAGGCGAAUUCUGGGGCUGCUGGACGCUCACUUGAAGAUGAGGACUUUUCUGGUGGGUGAAUGUGUGACUGGCUGACAUCACAGUCGUCUGCACCCUAUUGUAGCUGUAUAAGCAGGUCAUAGGACCUUCUUUCCACCAAGCCUUUCCGAAUUAUAACCGCUGGUCCCUCAUCUGCAUUAACCAGCCUCAGUUCCCGGCUGUCUUGGGGGAAGUGAAACUGUGAGAAGAUGGCCCAGUUUGAUGCUAAAAAGUUUGCCGAGAGCCAACCUAAAAAAGACACCCUAUGGAAAAAGCAAGGUUCACAGGAAGAGAAGCAGAGCCCCAGGCUGAUUGGAAGGAGAAGAAAAUGGCGGCUGCCCCUGCUCCUGAGGAGGUGAUGGAUGAAUGUAAGCAGGUGCUGGCCACUGAGCCUAAGACCAAGGACCCCUCCGCUCACCUGCCCAAGAGUACCUUUGUGUUGGAUGAAUAUAGCAGCAAGGACUCCAACAAGGACACACUCCCUGUGGCACUGCCAUAUUUUUGGGAGCACUUUGAUGAGGAUGUCUAGUUCCUGUGAUACUCAGAGUAUUGCUGCCCUGAUGAACUCACUCAGUCAGAUCUUCAUGAGCUGCAAUCUCAUCACUGGAAUGUUCCAGCGACUGGACAAGCUGAGGAAGAAUGCUUUCACCAGUUUCAUCCCCUUUGGAACCAACAAUAGCGGCUCCAUUUCUAGAGUCUGGGUCUUCUGAGGCCAGGAGCUUGCCUUUCCUCUGAGUGCAAAUUGGCAGGUGGACUAUGAAUCAUACAUACGGAGGAAACUGGGUUCUGGCAGUGAGGAGACACUUGGAAUCCAAAUAUAUCCAUAGUGAAAGUUCGAGAGUACUUUUCCUGGGAGGGGGCCUUCCAGCAUGUUGGCCAAGACUUCAAUCAAGGCACGAUCUUCAAGUGA